GACGAACGCUGGCGGCGUGCUUAACACAUGCAAGUCGAACGGAAAGGCCCUGCUUUUGUGGGGUGCUCGAGUGGCGAACGGGUGAGUAACACGUGAGUAACCUGCCCUUGACUUUGGGAUAACUUCAGGAAACUGGGGCUAAUACCGGAUAGGAGCUCCUGCUGCAUGGUGGGGGUUGGAAAGUUUCGGCGGUUGGGGAUGGACUCGCGGCUUAUCAGCUUGUUGGUGGGGUAGUGGCUUACCAAGGCUUUGACGGGUAGCCGGCCUGAGAGGGUGACCGGCCACAUUGGGACUGAGAUACGGCCCAGACUCCUACGGGAGGCAGCAGUGGGGAAUAUUGCACAAUGGGCGGAAGCCUGAUGCAGCAACGCCGCGUGCGGGAUGACGGCCUUCGGGUUGUAAACCGCUUUCGCCUGUGACGAAGCGUGAGUGACGGUAAUGGGUAAAGAAGCACCGGCUAACUACGUGCCAGCAGCCGCGGUGAUACGUAGGGUGCGAGCGUUGUCCGGAUUUAUUGGGCGUAAAGGGCUCGUAGGUGGUUGAUCGCGUCGGAAGUGUAAUCUUGGGGCUUAACCCUGAGCGUGCUUUCGAUACGGGUUGACUUGAGGAAGGUAGGGGAGAAUGGAAUUCCUGGUGGAGCGGUGGAAUGCGCAGAUAUCAGGAGGAACACCAGUGGCGAAGGCGGUUCUCUGGGCCUUUCCUGACGCUGAGGAGCGAAAGCGUGGGGAGCGAACAGGCUUAGAUACCCUGGUAGUCCACGCUGUAAACGGUGGGUACUAGGUGUGGGGUCCGUUCCACGGGUUCCGUGCCGUAGCUAACGCUUUAAGUACCCCGCCUGGGGAGUACGGCCGCAAGGCUAAAACUCAAAGGAAUUGACGGGGCCCCGCACAAGCGGCGGAGCAUGCGGAUUAAUUCGAUGCAACGCGUAGAACCUUACCUGGGUUUGACAUGGAUCGGGAGUGCUCAGAGAUGGGUGUGCCUCUUUUGGGGUCGGUUCACAGGUGGUGCAUGGCUGUCGUCAGCUCGUGUCGUGAGAUGUUGGGUUAAGUCCCGCAACGAGCGCAACCCUUGUUCACUGUUGCCAGCACGUUAUGGUGGGGACUCAGUGGAGACCGCCGGGGUCAACUCGGAGGAAGGUGGGGAUGACGUCAAGUCAUCAUGCCCCUUAUGUCCAGGGCUUCACGCAUGCUACAAUGGCUGGUACAGAGAGUGGCGAGCCUGUGAGGGUGAGCGAAUCUCGGAAAGCCGGUCUCAGUUCGGAUUGGGGUCUGCAACUCGACCUCAUGAAGUCGGAGUCGCUAGUAAUCGCAGAUCAGCAACGCUGCGGUGAAUACGUUCCCGGG
rnacentral:rRNA from 1 species